UUAAAAAGCAGGAUUCACUCGUCGAAAGAUAGAUACCGCGUAUAAGAAAGGAGAGCAGCCUAUCUCAACCUGAUACAAUAUAAAGAAAUCAUGACAACGCUAUUUUAUUUUAUCUUGUUGAUUGUAUGUACUCAAACCUCGGCGGUCUGGCCCAGAGGGCAAUACUGUCUACCAAUGCCAUCAAACGAACGAUGCCCUCUCGGUUGGGAAGAAGGUUAUCGUUUCCACACCACAGAAGGCAACAAUACGGUACGAGGGGACGUCCCGUAUGUUGCAACGCGAGGCAAAGAUCUAGGAUGGGGAUUUUGUUGUAAAACUAGAGUGAGAUAUUCGCGCGUAAGUUCGUGGCCAAAGGGAAGUUACUGCAUCUUUCGUAAAGGAGGAUUUUGUCCUCGAGGAUUUAUGGAAGGUA